AUUGAACGCUGGCGGCAUGCCUUACACAUGCAAGUCGAACGGUAACAGGUCUUCGGAUGCUGACGAGUGGCGAACGGGUGAGUAAUACAUCGGAACGUGCCUAGUAGUGGGGGAUAACUACUCGAAAGAGUGGCUAAUACCGCAUGAGAUCUACGGAUGAAAGCAGGGGAUCGCAAGACCUUGUGCUACUCGAGCGGCCGGUGGCAGAUUAGGUAGUUGGUGGGUUAAAAGCUUACCAAGCCGACGAUCUGUAGCUGGGAUGAGAGGACGAUCAGCCACACUGGGACUGGGACACGGCCCAGACUCCUACGGGAGGCAGCAGUGGGGAAUUUUGGACAAUGGGCGCAAGCCUGAUCCAGCAAUGCCGCGUGCAGGAUGAAGGCCUUCGGGUUGUAAACUGCUUUUGUACGGAACGAAAAGCCCUGGGUUAAUACCCUGGGGUCAUGACGGUACCGUAAGAAUAAGCACCGGCUAACUACGUGCCAGCAGCCGCCGUAACAC
rnacentral:rRNA from 1 species